CGUAGGGUGCGAGCGUUGCCCGGAUUUAUUGGGCGUAAAGGGCGCGUAGGCGGCUCGGCACGUCCGUUGUGAAAUCGCCCGGCUCAACUGGGCGGGGUCGGCGGAUACGGCCGAGCUGGAGCAAGCUAGGGGGUAAUGGAAUUCCCGGUGUAGUGGUGGAAUGCGUAGAUAUCGGGAGGAACACCAGUGGCGAAGGCGGUUACCUGGAGCUUUGCUGACGCUGAUGCGCGAAAGCGUGGGGAGCGAUCCGGAUUAGAUACCCGGGUAGUCCACGCCGUAAACGAUGCGGACUAGGUGUCGGGGGUAUCGACCCCCUCGGCGCCGCAGCUAACGCAUUAAGUCCGCCGCCUGGGGACUACGGCCGCAAGGCUA
rnacentral:rRNA from 1 species